ACUCACCAAGGCCAGCUGGCCUGGGUCUGAAAAAAGAGUGAAAAUGGACUGUAGGAAGAUGGUCGCUAAUGGACUUCAGCAUGUCGAACACCGUAGGUGCUUCAGAGAAAGAACUCUCCUACUCUUAUCCUUUCCUUCCAUUCAAGAGUAUGUAUUUAAUGUUAUUCAUUCUUCAGAUUUGAAAGUAUCUUCCUAUUUGAUACUCAAUACUCAAGGUCAAAUGGCAAUUGUUAGCAAUUAUAUAUAAAAGAAAGAAGAAUUUUUAACAAUAUUUAAAUGGGAUAUGACAGGAGACACUUUUGCAAAUUCUGUUGGCACACUUACCUUGACUUUCCAAGUCUGGUAAGGUUAUAAUUAUAAAGAGAUAAAUAUGAUGGGCCAACUAAUUUAACAUAUUGGCUCUAAAAAUUAAUUAAAUAUUCAAGAAACCCAGCUCUUUUUUGUUUCAGCACAAGGAGAAUGGAAGGCCAUAAUUAAUUCCUUAAACUUCUGUUCAGUGCAAAUUCAGAAGUUAUUUUGUGACUAUUCAUCCACUUAGAAUAUUUUAAAUGACGAAUUUCGCCAUGUGUCGAUCUGGACUUGCACAGUCCACAGAUAAAGGGAUUGACUGCACAAAGAAAGAGGAAGGCAGCAGCUGUGGCCUAGAUGAGCACUUCAAAGUCUCCUCAAGUGACUCCAGAAAGCCCAGCACAGAAAGGAGUCAUCUGGUACCAGGAAGAAGCAGAACAAUGGAGAAGUAACCAUGUCUGCAUGUAAUGGCUGAACUUGGAGUAACUUGUCUGUUCAGAGACAGAGUUUAGAUGAGAACUGGAGAAAAUAAAAGCCUGCUGGAACUGUCAUCUAGGAAUAUAUAAACCGUAGUAAAAUAUAAGGAAGAUGCUGAUCGUUUGUAAGUGGAAGUUUACUAGGUCACAGUCACAGACGACGGCCCCUGAGUACAGUGAGCCAUCAGUCAUUCGUAAACUUUAAAUAUAUUUUAUUUUAUUUAAAAUGUUUGCUUUCAUCAUAGUCUCUGUAUUUUUAUCUCUUGCUUUCUCUGCAACACUAAUUGGCUUAUUCCCAGCAAUAUUUCUAAUAGAUUAGAGACAUCUGAUAAAACAAAAAAGUCUGAUUGAAAUGAACAAUGUAAAACUUUUUAAGGUUAAAAAAAUCAGAGUGAAGACUUGAGAUUCCAGAGAGAGAGAGAGAGAGAGAGAGAGAGAGAGAGAGAGAGAGAGAGAGAGAGAGAUUUCCUCCUUCAUGUCAGGACAUCGUGAUGGUCUCUUGUUCAGUUCUUAUCUGGGAAGCCAUGUUGAAACUUCAUGAAUGGAACUAUCCUGGCUUUUCUAGGAGACACAAUCUCACAGCAGAUCCUCUUUCCUUUAGCUCUUACAGUUUUCAGUCUCAGGCGAGUUUUAUAUGGGAAGGGUUUGUGGGAGAAAAGAGGAAGGGGAAUGAUGCAAUUAUAUUUCAAUUUAAAAAUAUUACUUAUAUGCUCAUACAUCUUUCAGGGUUUGAAAUUCCUCAGGUGGCCAGAUGUACAGUAUUUGGGAAAUUUUUAGUUAAAUCUUUAGACAAUAAAAUGGGUUCUUGGUAGUUCUUGAUAAAAACACUUAGAGCUCCUUGAGAAGAUCUUGCCAUGGUUACUGAUAAUGCUCUUGACUCCCUGAACAGUGAGGCCUCAUUUGCUGUACUGGACAUAAGUUCCAUCUGUGGCCAUAUAGACUUAGUCAGAUCUUGUUGGUGCCAUAUUCAGCAGCAACUUUUAGUAGUUAGAGGCAGGCACAGUGUGACACCACUGAUAUUAGUGCUUGAGGAGCAGAGGCAGGCAGCCAUGACCUCAAAGCUAGCCUCAGCUACAUAGCAAGUUGCAGACCAACCUGGACUAUGUAAUGAGAUCCCUUCUCCCAUCGCCAUUCCAAAUGACAGAGUGAUGAAACAUGUAAUGACCCAAUUAAUUUUGAAUGGAAAAUUUCCCGGCUGAUUCUGUGCUUCUAUUGGUGAGACUUGUAACUUCCUUGUUAACAGCCACUACUUUCCAUGCCAAGAAUAAAGAUAAAGAUAUAAAUAUUUUAUAUAUUUUCAUCCCUUGGCUCUGUUGUGAUGGUUAAUAUUUAUUAUUUAGUUUACUGUGGCUUUUAUUAAUAUACUUGCAUAUUGGCUCCAGGGGUAUCGUGAUGUGAGGAAAUGAAAUAAGCUAAUAAUUUUGAGAACUCUCUUAUUUCUGCAUGGCCUAAUUAAAAACAGUUCUGGAGACAGAAAAGAAAAUUAAUGAGUGUAACAUGAUAUAAUAUGUGUGAUUUUGGAGCAAUGCACAGGACUCCCUGGGAACUCAGGAGAGCUGUUUAACUCCAGACAGGAAGAGUUCCAGGAAGUACCAUGAGCUUCUGAUUAAUACUGCAAAGGUGGAAGAUACUGAUGGAGAAGAAAGCACAAACAAAGCUGUGUAGGUCAGGAAGGAAGUUUUCAAGUGUGUAAACUGAUACCUGGAACAGAUCUUAGGGCAGCUGAGGGCUCCAACAGAGAAACCUUAUAACCUAUAGAACAUAUUCUGCAAAUACAGAAUUAAAAUGGGCCACACUGAGUGAAGAUGAAGCAUAAAGUCUCUACUCUUUCAGUA